rnacentral:rRNA from 1 species
AGAGUUUGAUCAUGGCUCAGGACGAACGCUGGCGGCGUGCUUAACACAUGCAAGUCGAACGGUGAACCCGCUUCGGUGGGGGAUCAGUGGCGAACGGGUGAGUAACACGUGGGCAACCUGCCCCCGGCUCUGGGAUAACUCCAAGAAAUUGGGGCUAAUACCGGAUAUGACCGCUGACCGCAUGGUCUGGUGGUGGAAAGAUUUAUCGGCUGGGGAUGGGCCCGCGGCCUAUCAGCUUGUUGGUGGGGUAGUGGCCUACCAAGGCGACGACGGGUAGCCGGCCUGAGAGGGUGACCGGCCACACUGGGACUGAGACACGGCCCAGACUCCUACGGGAGGCAGCAGUGGGGAAUAUUGCGCAAUGGGCGGAAGCCUGACGCAGCGACGCCGCGUGGGGGAUGACGGCCUUCGGGUUGUAAACCUCUUUCAGCAGGGACGAAGCGGAAGUGACGGUACCUGCAGAAGAAGCACCGGCCAACUACGUGCCAGCAGCCGCGGUA